UACGUAGGGUGCAAGCGUUGUCCGGAAUUAUUGGGCGUAAAGAGCUCGUAGGCGGUUUGUCGCGUCGGCUGUGAAAACUCGGGGCUCAACCCCGAGCCUGCAGUCGAUACGGGGCAGACUAGAGUGCGGUAGGGGAGACUGGAAUUCCUGGUGUAGCGGUGAAAUGCGCAGAUAUCAGGAGGAACACCGGUGGCGAAGGCGGGUCUCUGGGCCGUAACUGACGCUGAGGAGCGAAAGCGUGGGGAGCAAACAGG
rnacentral:rRNA from 1 species